AUCAUUUAUCAGCGAUUAGAUUUCUUUUUUUUUUUUUAUCAGUGAUUCCUAAUUGAAUGUAGCAUAUUAUGUUUAUGUAAUGUCAAUGGACCUGAGCAUCAUAAUCGUAAAUGUCCCAUUUUUUGUAUUUUUUUUUUUGUUAUUCUUCUUAGUUCUACUGUACAAUUAUUUUACUUUUGUACAUCCCAUUUCUUAUAGGUGUAGUAGCAUUUUCUUUUUUGUCCACUCAUUUUUUUUUUUAUUUGUACACAUAUAAUAAAUUAAAUCUCCAUUGGUGUAACAUUUUAAUUUGUAAAUAGUUUUUGUACAUUUAUUUUUUAUGUGUGGUGUACCAGAAAAGAAGGAUGUUCUUACUGUCUUUCUGUGAGUAACCUGAAUGAGGUUUUAAUUACGAAAUAAAAAGUCAUUGAAAAAAACUAAAUCUUGUAGAUGAGACUUUCUGUAGUAAAUAAUUUAGCUGACUGAAACGACACAUAUUAUACUGAUCUUCCAUCGGUUGAAGCAAUUUUUUUUCUCAAAUUAAGAAACAAGCAAUAUCUAUAAAUAAAAAAAAAGAUUCAUCUGAGUUUGUUAUUGUAUGGGAUUUAAUGGUGUUUUUUUUUUUUUUAUUUCUUUUCCAUAGAGGCCUUUUCUUUGCUGUAUUAAUUUGUACUGGCUAUGUAAAUUAUAUACAUUUUUUCAUGUGACUGUGCAAAAAAGAAAUUUUGCUUUAUAGACCAUUGAAUUAUUUUAUAAUUAUAAAUGUAAAUUAUUUUAAGUCUGAAACAUUACAUUCAAACAUUUUAAUGUUAUUUAGUUUCUUGCUUAAACUGUUUAUUAUUCAGGUGCAUUAAGUCACAUUACGAUGUUAUCGAAAGCCUGAUGACAUUUGUUUACAGCUCUGGUGAAUUUAUUCUUGAGUACUGACAUUUAUUUACUCAGUAUUUAUUUAAACUGUGGUCUGUGUUUCAUGUUCCUAGCUCAAUCAUUACAAUCUUCUUUCACUUUGCACAAAGGGAUGUUUAGAUAAGCAGGCUUUAAAAAAAAAGAAACAUAUAAACACUUUGUCAAGUACUGGGGAAAAAAAACACAUUUUAUUUAGAGUGUGUAUAUUUACCACUGCUUUUCUAACAUUGGACCUUUGCGAAUACACAGUCCUGCUUAACCUAACAGAAACACUUGUAGCAAUAAUGAAAUCUACUUAGAUAAACAUCAGUAAUAUAUUUGGAAUACCAGUUUAUUUAGUACUUACUACUUAAAAAUAAUUGUCUUUUUUAAUUAAAAGAUUUUUGUUUCAAUUAACAUGACCCAGUUUCUAUAUGCUUAAGAAGUCUCAGUGGCAAGUUCCCCCCCCCCCCCCCCC